UCUGUCUCUGUCUCUGUCUCUGUCUCUGUUACUCCCCCUGCUGGCAGAUAUGUUGUUUACAGAGUCCCAAGCCCAAGCAUCAGCCAGAAAGAAUAUAGGACUGGUUUGGAGCUGGGGACCAGAACCUACUCUUUGAUACAAAGUCAUAGAAAAAUAAGGAGGACCAAAGUGUUGUGAGGUGAGAUCAACUAGAAUUAUCUAUGCAAGUUUCCUUAUCUGUCAAAUGAAGAAGAGGAAUGUGAAGAUUGCUGAAAUAAGUAGGAGACCUGCAGAACAUAGCCUGUAGAGGAGCAUGGGCAAGAUCAGGGGAACUACUUAGCAGAAUGCUGCAGCAGUCCAGGUAGUACAUCUAUGGGUAACAUGUUUCCUGGGAUCCCUGAGUGGCGCAGCGGUUUAGCACCUGUCUUUGGCCCAGGGCACGAUCCUGGAGACCCGGGAUCGAGUCUCACGUCGGGCUCCCGGUGCAUGGAGCCUGCUUCUC